rnacentral:rRNA from 1 species
AUUGAACGCUGGCGGCAGGCCUAACACAUGCAAGUCGAGCGGAUGAAGGGUGCUUGCUCCUGGAUUCAGCGGCGGACGGGUGUGUAAUGCCUAGGAAUCUGCCUGGUAGUGGUGGAUAACGUCCGGAAACGGGCGCUAAUACCGCAUACGUCCUUAUGGUGAAAGUUGUGGAUCUUCGGACCUCUCUCUAUCAGAUGAGCCUAGGUCGGAGUAGCUAGUUGGUGGGGUAAAGGCCUACCAAGGCGACGAUCCGUAACUGGUCUGAGAGGAUGAUCAGUCACACUGGAACUGAGACACGGUACAGACUACUACGGGAGGCAGCAGUGGGGAAUAUUGGACAAUGGGCGAAAGCCUGAUCCAGCCAUGCCGCGUGUGUGAAGAAGGUCUUCGGAUUGUAAAGCACUUUAAGUUGGGAGGAAGGGCAGUAAGUUAAUACCUUGCUGUUUUGACGUUACCAACAGAAUAAGCACCGGCUAACUUCGUG